ensembl:lncRNA
GCAGCACUGUGCUGGACCUGCCAGCUUUUCUGUUGUAUAAAGAUUUCUUCUUUAAAUGACAGGAAAUGUGAUUUCCCCAAAUAUUUAUCUUAAUUCUAUGCCAUUAUUUCUUUAUUCCUAGGUUCCAAAAGCAUGAAGAUUUGCGUUUCACAAUCUAUGCAGGAAGGCUGAGUUGAUAUAUUGGUUGCAAAUGAAGAAAAGCACGUGUGGAUCUUCCUCGGACAAAAAGAAAAAGAGGAAACCGCCUGAUGAAAACAGAGCCAAAACACCAGCCUUGCCAGAAACCAGGUGAAAAUGCAUAAAUAACCCAGCCUGUCUAUAGGUUUUGCCUUCUGAAACCACGGAAAGGAGCAGGAUCCGGCCUCACUGCUCAAGGCUGAGUCCUCCUGGCGUACUGCAGACACUGUGCUUUCAGGCUGCCUGCUCUGAAAUGGAGACGUUUUUCCUCUUUAAGAACCAAGA